UAUAGAGAACAAACUAGUAGUCACUUGUGGAGAGGUAAGCAGGGGAGGGCAAGAUAGGAGUAGAGUAUUAAGAGUUACAAACUACUAUAUAUAAAACAAAUAAGCUACAAAGAUAUAAAUUGUAGAGCACA